UACGUAGGGUGCGAGCGUUAAUCGGAAUUACUGGGCGUAAAGCGUGCGCAGGCGGUUUGCUAAGACCGAUGUGAAAUCCCUCGGCUCAACCGAGGAACUGCGUCUGAUACUGGAAGGCUUGAAUCCGGGAGAGGGAUGUGGAAUUCCAGGUGUAGCGGUGAAAUGCGUAGAUAUCUGGAGGAACACCGGUGGCGAAGGCGGCAUCCUGGACCGGUAUUGACGCUGAGGCGCGAAAGCUAGGGGAGCAAACGGG
rnacentral:rRNA from 1 species